UACGUAGGGUGCGAGCGUUGUCCGGAAUUACUGGGCGUAAAGAGCUCGUAGGCGGUUUGUCGCGUCGGAUGUGAAAACCCAGGGCUCAACCCUGGGCCUGCAUUCGAUACGGGCAAACUAGAGUAUGGCAGGGGAGACUGGAAUUCCUGGUGUAGCGGUGAAAUGCGCAGAUAUCAGGAGGAACACCGGUGGCGAAGGCGGGUUUCUGGGCCAAAACUGACGCUGAGGAGCGAAAGCGUGGGGAGCGAACAGG
rnacentral:rRNA from 1 species